ensembl:lncRNA
AGAUAAGGUUGAUGGACAGUAAGGUGAGCUGUCGGAGGGAAGUGCUGCAGGACUAGAGGUUUCUCUGCGCUGCUGGAGGUGUGGACAGUCGGUGAAGAGUUCUGGUGUAAAGCCCGGUCCGGGAGAACCAGAACCCUGAUGAAUGUUGACCUCACUGCACAGCAGCGACAGAGGACCAGCUUUAAUAUGCAACCAUCUCAGACUCAGUAACUGCUUUCACCCCACUGAUCACACAAUCAUUUGCUCAUCAGUUUUAUAAAAGUGGGAUAUUUCUUGGUACGAAUAGACUUCUCAUGAUUCUGCAAACUACUGUUUUUCCUGCUUUAAACAACCUUCAUGAAGCAAACAAACAAAUACACUAGAGUGUCACUAACAGAUUUUCCGAUGAUUACUCAGGAUGUUUUUUUAACUCUAUGGCUACAAGCUGCUGUGUUUGAUGUACUUGCAACUGAAAAUAAAGGGCUAUAUAUAUUACUUUCAUGAAAUUAAAACAUACUGAUGACAUAGUGCUUUUGAAAAUUAUAUUUUAAAUGGAUCGCAAUAAUUGAGAUGCAAAGAAAUCUAAUAAAUAUAUUUUAAAUACAAAAAUUCUGACAUCUUAUUAUUAACUCCAUUAACAACCGUUUCAUUUAAUAUUUAUUCUUUACUUCUCACAAAUCAUAGUUCAAUAAAGGAUCAUUCCCUCAUUUUUCAUAAAAAAAAAAAUGCAUGUUAAAACUUUAAAAAGUGCAUUGAAAAGACCUACAUAUACAUUUAGAUUUUUUUUCUUAAUGAGACACCUCUUCUGCUCAGGGUGGGUUGCAAAUCACCAUUUUCAUUUUAUAUGUUGAUUACAGUUAUUAACCCAAACAGAAGAAGUUUCAUACUGAAAAAAAUACUUUUAACAUUUUUUUUAGGUGUUUUCACUUUAAAAUUGGUCAAUUUCACUCACGACAUACAGGAGGGUUAAAAGCUUUUUAUGUUAAUAUAAUAUGCAAUAAUAUUUAAUAAUUUCUUAGUAAUAUAAUAAUAGAUUCAAUAAUAUAAUGUAUAUAAUAUAUGUAUAUAUUUUUAGUCUGUUUAUUGCCUCAUAUAGUUUAUUUUUAAUGCAGCUAUGUGGAGAGUGCUAAACUGAUUU